GGUAGCGUGGCCGAGUGGUCGAAGGCGCUGAUUUUAAGAAUCAGGAAAGUGGCAUGGGUUCGAUUCCCAUCGCUACCA